GUGUGUGUGUGUGUGUGUGUGUGUAUAUAAAACAUUUCUGUCCCCCUCACUUCUGAAAUGAUGGCAACGCUCCUGUAUAUAGUAUACACAGUGUAGUUUUACCGAGCAAACCGCAGAAACGGUGAGAAAGACCGUGGCAGCUGCCUUUGACUCCUGGCAAGAACUCUGGCAACUGAUACAUAAAAAUGUACAGAAUAAUAAUAAUAAUAAAAUUGUGGGAACUUUGCAUCAUCAUUAAAAAAAAAACAUCACCGCACGCCACUGAGAACAGUGUAGUUUUACCGAGCAAACCGCAGAAACGGUGAGAAAGACCGUGGCAGCUGCCUCGAACUCUGGCAGCUGCCAGAAACGACUAGUGGCAGCUGCCACGAACUCUGGCAGCUGCCAGUGGCAGCUGGGGAUGCCACCGGAAGGGGCGCUGCGACCUGCCGAUGCCAGGAUUUGCGCUUGCUCUCGCUCACAAAGCGGCCGUUGCAAAGAGCUUGAACUGCGUCAGAAAUAGAACAAGGAAAUCCGUUAACUGUCGGGGAUUUGUCGCGCCGUGCCGCGUCCGGCGUAGACGAUGGGCUCAUUUGAGAUGCCCAUCGCCUCGCCUAAAUGCAGAUGUCUGGUUUCUCCUGCCCUUUGAAGACCCCUUAUUCUCCUGGACUGUUUUUUUUUUUUUGGAAUACUGGUUAGUAGUGGUGAGUAUUAUUAAAAACUUUUACUUUUGUUUUAAGAGGUUGCAUUCACAUGUGUACAUCUCUGAUGACUACUUUGAAUGAUAUGCGUCUUAAUAUAAUUUGAUGAGCAUAAUCCAAUAGUCUUAAUUCUAAUAAUUGUUAACUGUUUUAAAACUGAUGCAUACUUUUGAUAUUUUACAGAUAUCUGAUAUUUCACCAGACAGGUACACUUAUUGACAUCCACUUCACUGUCAGUCCAAAGCCUCUACAUUAAUGUGUAUUAAGGGUGCACAGUAGCAGUUGCAGUUAGAUUGGAGUUACCAAAACAUCCACAAUUUGGACAUUUCUGCCAUUAUCCAUGCUGCAAAUGAAGCCCUCAUCCCAGAAUGCAUUGAGGAGACAAUGCCCACGAUAGACCAGGGGACAUCAGGAUCGUCAAUGAGGGCCAGAUAAUCUUACAGUUAUUUGGAUAACUUGGCAUUAGCUACUGCACAAUUCAACUGCCCAUCUAACUGAAAGGGAACAUUCACCCAAAAAUGAAAAUUCUGGUAUCAUUUAC